rnacentral:lncRNA from 1 species
AAAAGACUGGAGGAGCUGCUGGACAGCGACCGUUUCUUCAGGGACGACUUCGCUGUUGUUCUCCAGCCGUUCCUCAAACACGCCGACCCUCCCCGCCUCCCGGUAAUCUGCCACGAACAUGAUCGACACAGCAGAGACGUGUCUGCUUUUCGGGGGAUGAAUCGUUCGGAUCUCGAGUGUGACAGGCUGUGGCGUCUGCCUUUGUUAACAGGAGGCUGAAAAUGAGAGAGAGAGAGAGAGAAGUCUCGUCUCGCCCAGCAACACGAAACCCAGCAAAACCUCACCGGUGUGUGUGUGUGUGUGUUUUUUUCUCCCUGAGCAGAACGGGAAGAUCGACAUGACCUUCUUCACUCACGACUGCUUCCACUUCACCAUUAAGGGACACGAGGAGCUGGCCAAGGGACUGUGGAACAACAUGGUGAACAAUGACUUCCACUGCUUGUGUUUAACUGAAUGGCAAGAGGUCAAAAUGUCAACAAUCAGCCCGUAGAAAAUAUAUGUACAGUAGUACAUUUGUAGCAAUAGUAGUACUUUUUUGUCAGUAUAGUUCAUUGUGUUUCCCUAAAUUAAUCUCUCCUCAUCUCUCCGUCUCCUGUUCCCAGUUUCAGCCUGAGGGAGGGAAGAUGAUCGUGAGCAGUUUCUCCGACCCCAUCAGUCUCAUCUGUCCACCGAGGGAGCACCCGUACAUCUUCACACGACCAAUUGCAGCCAGGUCUGGCCGGCCUCUGCCUCAGUCAUCAGUCGUCUUGCUGCUCUCGCUACUUGUGGGUUUUGGACGUCUUGGACUUGUGUGACAUCCACUUGGCUCUUGUCAUGUGCACGUCUCUGCUCCACUGUCCAGGUGAUCGCCCACAGUGGCUCACAUGCAGAGGAGAGUCAGUGGGCCGCUCUUUGCAACAUUGCAUGUCUGUGGCCCCGAAAACCAGCACAGAGAAACGACUGCAGUGUUUGAGAUCUGGAAAAAGUCCCUGUAGAUACUGUGCCAGUGAAUCCUGCAUCCUAAAUAUUUAAUUCUUAGACGCAGAUGGAGUGAAGAGUUUUUACUUGUUGUUGUUCAGCGGCUUUUUAGUAGAAAGUUUUCUAUUUUGCUUUUUAAAUUUGAAUCUAACAUGACUGCACCCGGAUGAUUUACAGUAUCGCUUAAACAAACUGCGGGAACGGGAGAAUGAUCCAUGUUUCAUUCCACACUUAUAAUCAUAAUAAUCUACUGCAGGUGUCUCGCCCGGUGCAGAUUUAACUUUACCGUAUCACUCGAUAAAUAUUAAAUGCAGAUGUUGUAAUCAGUCAAAAAGAACAAGUUAUGAUUUUCUUGCAUUGUUCACGUGACAUUUAUACAUUCAUACAUAAAACAUUAAACUAAUUCGACUUUGCCCAAAAGUGAAGUGAGUGUAUGUUUAAUCCAUGAAAGUGUUUUCUUGGAUACUUACUCUCUGUCUCAGUAGCAAGACAGAAACCUUUGUGAUAUUGCCAAGGUGCAUUAUGUUCAAUUACUUUGUUGCACUGGCGAUGGAAGCCUUAGAAGCUUUAAGACAGAAGUGACACAUUGCAUCAAUCAUCACAUUCACAUGUAUUGAAAUAGGAGGUUGACUUAGUUCACCUCGUUUACUGUAACACACACAGUCUGUAUGUGUGAACGCACAGAGGGCGAAGGGCCCGGAUCAGCUCAACGAAAAGCAGUUUUAAAAAGUCGAAAAGAGUUUGUCGUCCGUCUUACCCUCCGCAGACCUUCCGGGGAGAGCUGUGACUUUUCAAACCCGCAGACGGUUUAGUCACGCGGCUGUUCCUCAGGUCUGCAGGCUGCUGCUGGCCCACUUCUGCUCCUCGGUCCCUCCGCGACCUGCGUUUGUACGCACUGAGCAAAGGGAGAGGCAAAGUCAGACGCCGCAGUGAGAGAAACACACGCUGAAUGUUGUGCCUGAAUGCUGAGCAGCGAGUCGU